rnacentral:misc_RNA from 1 species
GAUGAAGAACGUAGCGAAAUGCGAUACGUAAUGUGAAUUGCAGAAUUCAGUGAAUCAUCGAAUCUUUGAACGCAUAUUGCGCUCUCUGGUAUUCCGGAGAGCAUGCUUGUUUGAGUAUCAGUAAACACCUCAACUUCCAUAUCUUUUUUUGAAAUGGGAGUUGGACUUGAGUGAUCCCAACGCUUUUCCUCACCGAAAAGUGGCGGGUUACUUGAAAUGCAGGUGCAGCUGGACUUUUCUCUGAGCUAUAAGCAUAUCUAUUUAGUCUGCCUAAAAAACAGAUUAUUACCUUUGCUGCAGCUAACAUAAAGGAGAUUAGUUCUUGUGCUGACUGAUGCAGGAUUCACAAAGACAGCUUCGGCCGACUUUGUAAACUCGAUCUCAAAUCAAGUAAGACUACCCGCUGAACUUAAGCAUAUCGAUAAGCGGAGGA